rnacentral:rRNA from 1 species
GAUGAACGCUGGCGGCGUGCCUAAUACAUGCAAGUCGAGCGAACAGACGAGGAGCUUGCUCCUCUUACGUUAGCGUCGGACGGGUGAGUAACACGUGGAUAACCUACCUAUAAGACUGGGAUAACUUCGUGAAACCGGAGCUAAUACCGGAUAAUAUAUUGAACCGCAUGGUUCAAUAGUGAAAGACGGUUUUGCUGUCACUUAUAGAUGAAUCCGCGCCGCAUUAGCUAGUUGGUCAGGUAACGGCUUACCAAGGCAACGAUGCGUAGCCGACCUGAGAGGGUGACCGGCCACACUGGAACUGAGACACGGUCCAGACUCCUACGGGAGGCAGCAGUAGGGAAUAUUCCGCAAUGGGCGAAAGCCUGACGGAGCAACGCCGCGUGAGUGAUGAAGGUCUUCGGAUCGUAAAACUCUGUUAUUAGGGAAGAACAAAUGUGUAAGUAACUAUGCACGUCUUGACGGUACCUAAUCAGAAAGCCACGGCUAACUACGUG